GUAUUUUGCUGGAGAUCCCUGCUUACUUGAGGCCUUCUGAAGAAUUUAUUGCUCUCAAAGGACCUGGAUACCACAGAGGCAUCCAAGUGCCUGAUUGCCACCAACGCCAAAGGGAGCUGCCCUAAAUGUCCACUGGAGGACCAUAUGCCCAAACCAGACACAUUUAGAAGAGGAUUACUCUCUAUGUGAGCUGAUAAUCUCUGUGGGGUUUGAGCAGAAAAUCAGUCUUCCAUUUUCUGCUGCUUGAGCAGCUGAGGAACAGGGAGGAGGACUGCAAGCUGCCAAAAGGUGGCUGCAGUGACUUCUGAAUCCUGGAAAGGACAGGUCCUGUGCAAGGGGCAGUUAUGUCAGCCCCCAGUUUAGAAAGGCCCUGCAUGUCUAAUACAUUCCCAGCCUGCUCAGCUUCCUCGGAAAGAAUUUGCUCUUGGCCCUCGCUUUCAGCCUACAUUGUCUCAGAGUUCACAAAACAAUGACUGGAUCAUCAAAGUGUCCUGAAUUAGCCUCUCCUGUCACAGUGGUAUGAAAACAGCAGUGAACCGAUCUCCUUGCAGCUUUUAGCAAGCUGUGUCACUAUGGCUCAUUUCUUGAAUUUCCCACACCAGAUGCCAGGUGUUUUUUUGAGCCCAUAUGUUAUGACUGCAACGUGGGAGCUCAUGACCUAGAGUAGCUCUCUUGCAGGUAGAGUGAAAACAGCAGAUGAGAGAGAACAUCAGGAUAAAUUUAGGUUGGGUUGCUGGGUGCACACAAGUAGGACAUGGCAAUAUCAUCCCUCAGGGUGCACAGGGAGUUGUUGAUGUCCCUAUUCAUUGCAGUUGGACCAGAUGACCUUUAGUGGUCCCUUCCAAAGAGUCUGUUUGCGUGACCACUCCUUUCCACGCUGCAGUGAGAGAUGUUGCUCCAAGGAGCAGGUUGUUGAACAAAACUCUCCAACAUGGACCAGUUAUGGCAAGUACUGGCACUCAGGGCGUAUAUCUGGAACUACAGAGCAGUGGUCCUCUUAGACUGCUAACAGAAAAUGUCUUCCACUGCUGAUAGUGCACCUGCAGUUCACAUGGCCCAGAAGGACAGCACGUGGAGAAACUGGUGCUUGCUGCUUGAGUUUAAGCUAUUUCUUCUUCAGUUUCACAGCCAAGGUGUCCAUUUGGAAGCUUAUGGAAGAGCAGGGAUGUUUUCGAAUAUCUAACAUCCACCUGGUAAAUACCUGGCUGAUAUCCACCUGCUGCUGAAAAUACUGAAAAAUGGAAAAUGCAGUUACCUAAUCUGACUUGGGUUAGCAUGUAAUUAAUUUGCCCAGUAAAGUCAGGCAGUCUGCAUCCACUUCUAAUACAGAGUAAAAAUUAUUUCCCACCCCACUUGUGCUCGGUGAGGCUUGAGUAAUGUUAGGGUUGGCUGACUUUUUGAAAUGAUAUUCCAUCUUGCGUCUUGGUAAACACUUGACAAAAAUAACAGUCUCCCACUUGAAAACAGUCUCCCUCUUCUUUCUAUUUCAGCAAUCUCUCCAAUUUGCUGAAGUGUCUCCUUGUUUCCAAUUUGCAGUGUCUGGGGUCCUUGGGAGCACUCGGGGGGAUUUGUUGCAGUAGUUUUGCAGCUGCCCUGUUUGGAUGAGGAGAGAUUUCUGCAUGUCCCUGUGUCUGCCCAUCAUACAGGAGGUCCUGACCUUUCCCAGCCCUGAUACAAAGCUGCCUGAACUCGUGCUGCCUUGAGAAUUCAUGCCUUUGCAUAUUUCAUUAAGGCUACUGGUGUCAUAAAAAAAAGCUGAAAUAAAAUGCAGCAAAAGGAGAAAGCUGAGUGGAGGGGGCAGAUGUGUAACAAGGCAAAAGGAGUAGCAAAAAGGAGAAAUUGCAUUAUUUCUGGAGUCACUUGUUAAUACAGAUUCCAUCUAGUGAUCGACAGAAUCACAAAUGUUGGAAAAAACCACUAAGAUCCCCAGCUCACCCCCACCAUAACCACUGCCCAUGUCCCUCAGUGCCACAUCCCCAUGGCUCUGGAACAUCAUCAGGAUGGUGACUGCUCUCUGUGCCAAUGCACCUCUUAAAUUUCAGAGAAAAAAUUUUUCCUAAUCUCUGACCUGAACCUCCACUGGCUCAACUUGAUGCCAUCACCUCUCACGCUGUUACCAGGGAGCAGAGGCUGACCCCUGCCUCACAACACCCUCUUUUCAGA